CAGAGAAUAGUUUAUAUAAAAUUUUAAUUUUGGAGAUUAAGGAAAAUAAGAAUAUUUUCUCUGA
rnacentral:tRNA from 1 species